rnacentral:rRNA from 1 species
CCGUGAUAGGUCACCUCAUCUGGAAGGAGAGACGGCUUAAAGGGGUGCGAGAGCUUCUUUCUUGCAUUCGCUCCAGGAUGGGACUGCGGCCGAUCAGGCUGUUGGCGGUGUAAUGGACCACCAAACCUGUAACCGGUACGGGCCUUGAGAGAGGGGGCCCGGAGAUGGACACUGAGAGAAGGGUCCAGGUCCUACGGGGCGCAGCAGGCGCGAAACCUUCGCAAUGCGCGAAAGCGUGACGAGGUUAAUCCGAGUGGUCCCCGCUGAGGGGAUCUUUUGUUGGCUGUAAAAAGGCCGAUGAAUAAGGGGAGGGCAAGUCUGGUGUCAGCCGCCGCGGUAAUACCAGCUCCUCGAGUGGUCGGGGCGAUUAUUGGGCCUAAAGCAUCCGUAGCCGGUUCUGUAGGUCCUCUGUCAAAUCCAACGGCUUGACCGUUGGCCCGCAGAGGAUACCGCAGGACUAGGAGGCGGGAGAGGUGGACGGUACUCGACGUGUAGGGGUAAAAUCCUUUGAUCCGUCGAAGACCACCAGUGGCGAAGGCGGUCCACCAGAACGCGCUCGACGGUGAGGGAUGAAAGCUGGGGGAGCGAACCGGAUUAGAUACCCGGGUAGUCCCAGCCGUAAACGAUGCAAGCUAGAUGAUCCGGUCGCAAAUCGCGAUCGGAGUGUCGCAGGGAAGCCGUUAAGCUUGCCGCC